rnacentral:rRNA from 1 species
AGCGCAGACGGUUAUUUAAGUCUGAAGUGAAAGCCCUCAGCUCAACUGAGGAAUGGCUUUGGAAACUGGAUGACUUGAGUGCAGUAGAGGAAAGUGGAACUCCAUGUGUAGCGGUGAAAUGCGUAGAUAUAUGGAGGAACACCAGUGGCGAAGGCGGCCUACUGGGCACCAACUGACGCUGAGGCUCGAAAGUGUGGGUAGCAAACA